rnacentral:tRNA from 2 species
GGUCAAGUACAGUGUUGGCCCCGGAGCGCCUUACAAGCGAGUGGUCGCAGGUUCGAUCCCUGCCGCGCCCA